AGCAAACGCUGUGGAACAUUCGCUGUUUCCAUCAGCCCCUAGACGCAGUCCUGCAGUCUGGAACCUGAAGCUCACGCCAGUCAGUCCUUUCGGUGGCCAGGAGAUGUCACUGCCGCGGCUUUGGCAGAGCCAGGGUCAGAGGCCAUAGGAGCUGAGAGUUUCAGCCUAAGAGCGCAGCCAGAGCUCACCUGGGGGCCUGCUGCAUGGCCUGGGGGUUGGCCAGGGCCUCCAGAGGCAGAAGCGAGUGAAGACGCAGAGGUUUUGCCACCCACAGCCGAGGCACCUGACGUACGCUGUCUUUCUAAGCAAGCCAUCAUGGAGCUGUCAAGUGUCAGGGACGAAGGGACCUCCAAACCAUGCAGGACACCAAGGCCCGAGGAGGAGAAAUUAAACCACAACCCAGCGGGCCUGUGGAUCUGUCCCUCCCACCAAACCCACUCCCUUCCCCAGGUUCUUGAUUAAAGGUCGGACGUGAGAA